rnacentral:tRNA from 1 species
UCCCCGGUGGCGCAGUGGUAGCGCGGCAAGCUGUUAACUUGAAGGUCGCUGGUUCGAAUCCAGCCCGGGGAGCCA